ACCUGGUUGGCUCAGCUGGAAGAGCGUGCGACUCUUGAUCAUAGGGUCAUGAGUUCGAGUUCAUGUUGGGUG
rnacentral:tRNA from 1 species